AUACGUAGGGUGCGAACGUUGUCCGAAAUUACUGGGCGUAAAGAGCUCGUAGGUGGUUUGUCGCGUCGUCUGUGAAAUUCCGGGGCUUAACUCCGGGCGUGCAGGCGAUACGGGCAUAACUUGAGUACUGUAGGGGAGACUGGAAUUCCUGGUGUAGCGGUGAAAUGCGCAGAUAUCAGGAGGAACACCGGUGGCGAAGGCGGGUCUCUGGGCAGUAACUGACGCUGAGGAGCGAAAGCAUGGGUAGCGAACAGGAUUAGAUACCCUGGUAGUCCAUGCCGUAAACGGUGGGCGCUAGGUGUAGGGGUCUUCCACGACUUCUGUGCCGUAGCUAACGCAUUAAGCGCCCCGCCUGGGGAGUACGGCCGCAAGGCUAAAACUCAAAGGAAUUGACGGGG
rnacentral:rRNA from 1 species